CCUUUCCUUCUCCUUUAAGGUCAGUCUAUGUACAGUCCAUCUUUAGCCUCCCCAAACAAAAAAGUCACCCUCUACCUAUGAUAUUGUCAGUGAAUAUUGUGCAAUUUUUCUGUUAUUAUUAUCUUUAUAUACUCAUUCAUUUUUUUUAGAUUGUGGCAUCAAAUAAGCUAAUUAUGUUGAUUGAGAAUCACCCAGAAUCACAAAGAACAAACAUGAUCAGACUAACCUGUGUGUUGGGACAACUACAUGGUGUAGAUCCAGGAAUUGCAUGCAGCUAUCAAAUGUCAACAAGAUGGUUGCAUCUGCCAUAGCAGAAAAUGUAUGAGAAAAUGUCUAAAAAAAAAAAAAACCUAUCUUGAAUUUUUGCUGACCUUUUGGAACCUGCAAGGCCCCACAAAUGAAAUUAGCAGCAAAAACAGGUAAGUUCAAAUUAAUUCUAUAGCUACUCUAAUAUUUAAAAUGGUAAUUAGAUAAAGGAUAAAGGAUGAUUUUUCAUUGCUGGUUGUUUUUUUUUAAAUAAAUAAAACACCACACAAACA